rnacentral:tRNA from 1 species
GCCUGGGUAGCUCAGUCGGUUAAGCGUCUGACUUCGGCUCAGGUCACCAUCUCACAGGUUGUGGGUUCGGAGCCCCAUGUCGGGCU